rnacentral:rRNA from 1 species
GACGAACGCUGGCGGCGUGCUUAACACAUGCAAGUCGAACGGAAAGGCCCUGCUCUUGUUGCGUGCUCGAGUGGCGAACGGGUGAGUAACACGUGAGUAACAUGCCCUUGACUGUGGGAUAACAUCAGGAAACUGGGGCUCUUACCGGAUAGGAGCUACUGCUGCACGGUGGGCGUUGGAAAGUUUCGGCGGUUGGGGAUGGACUCGCGGCUUAUCAGCUAGAUGGGGGGGUAGUGGCUUACCAAGGCUUUGACGGGUAGCCGGCCUGGGAGGGGGACCGGCCACAUGGGGACUGAGAUAGGGCGCAGACGCCUACGGGAGGCAGCAGUGGGGAAUAUGGCACAGUGGGCGGAAGCCUGAGACGGCAGCGCCGCGUGCGGGAUGACGGCCUUCGGGUUGUAAACCGCUUUCGCAGGUGACGAAGCGUGAGUGACGGUAAUGGGUAAAGAAGCACCGGCUAACUACGUG